rnacentral:rRNA from 11 species
CCCUACUGCGUAAAUACCCCACUAGUACCAGAUCCUAUUUGGUCUUAGAAGGUAAGCAGGAUCAGCUCUGGUUAGUACUUGGAUAGGAGACCCCAAGCAAUACCCGGCAUUGUAGGCU